rnacentral:lncRNA from 1 species
GCCAUGUUGUAAGGACACUCAAGCUGCUCUAUGGAGAGGUCCACAUGGUGAGGAACUGAGGCCUCUGGCCAACAGCCACGUGAGUGUGCCAUCUUGGGAAAGGAUCUGCCAGCCCCAGUCAAGCCUUCAGAUACCUGCCACCCUGCCCAGCAUCUUGACUGCAACCUCAUGAAAGACCUUGAGCCAGAACCUUCCAGGGGCAUCAUCUACUCUGCCCAAACCAGGCGCUACCAAGGGCAGUGAAAUUGCUUUGAUUGACUUGGCCUAAGGACAUGUACCUGUGGUGGCCAUGGAGCUGCACCGCUCAGAUCUCCCUUCAAGAGAACCUGCUGUGGGGAGGGAAUCAUAAAUCCGGUUCUGAUUAUCGCCACACACACAGAUCCUUCUCAAAGAUUCAGAGUCUUAUUCUUUUAUCUCUUCCCUAAAAUACGAUCUAAUUUACAAAACUUUGACUUACAACUCCGCCAGAAGCCCAGCUGGCGUGUGAAGUGAUGCACUCUGCAGCCGGCAGCACUGAAAAGCACCGGCCUCCCGGGAACCCAGCAAGGACCGUGAUCUUCAGUUAUU